rnacentral:rRNA from 1 species
CCUACGGGAGGCAGCAGUGGGGGAUAUUGCACAAUGGGGGAAACCCUGAUGCAGCGACGCCGCGUGGGUGAAGAAGUAUUUCGGUAUGUAAAGCCCUAUCAGCAGGGAAGAAAGGAGACGGUACCUGACUAAGAAGCCUCGGCUAACUACGUGCCAGCAGCCGCGGUCAUCAGUAGGGGGCGAGCGUUAUCCGGAUUCACUGGGUGUAAAGGGAGCGUAGACGGCCGUGCAAGCCAGGAGUGAAAGCCCGGGGCCCAACCCCGGGACGGCGCUUGGAACUGUGCGGCUGGAGUGCGGGAGGGGCAGGCGGAAUUCCUGGUGGAGCGGUGAAAUGCGUAGAUAUCAGGAGGAACACCGGCGGCGAAGGCGGCCUGCUGGACCGCGACUGACGUUGAGGCUCGAAAGCGUGGGGAGCGAACAGGAUUAGAUACCCGUGUAGUC